AUCGCUUCUCAGCCUUUUGGCAAAGAUCAAGUGUAGUAUCUGUUCUUAUCAGUUUAAAGGAUUCCUGUUCUGUGGGACCUUCAGAGCCCAUCCCAAAUUCUUUCAAGCUAAAGACCUACU
rnacentral:snRNA from 1 species